rnacentral:rRNA from 1 species
GAUGAACGCUGGCGGCGUGCCUAAUACAUGCAAGUCGAGCGAACAGACGAGGAGCUUGCUCCUCUGACGUUAGCGGCGGACGGGUGAGUAACACGUGGAUAACCUACCUAUAAGACUGGGAUAACUUCGGGAAACCGGAGCUAAUACCGGAUAAUAUAUUGAACCGCAUGGUUCAAUAUUGAAAGACGGUUUUGCUGUCACUUAUAGAUGGAUCCGCGCCGCAUUAGCUAGUUGGUAAGGUAACGGCUUACCAAGGCAACGAUGCGUAGCCGACCUGGGAGGGUGAUCGGGCACGCUGGAACUGAGACACGGUCCAGACUCCGACGGGAGGCGGCAGUAGGGAAUCGUCCGCAAUGGGCGAAAGCCUGACGGAGCAACGCCGCGUGAGUGAUGAAGGUCUUCGGAUCGUAAAACUCUGUUAUUAGGGAAGAACAAAUGUGUAAGUAGCUAUGCACGUCUUGACGGUACCUAAUCAGAAAGCCACGGCUAACUACGUG